GACGAACGCUGGCGGCGUGCUUAACACAUGCAAGUCGAACGGAAAGGCCCUGCUUUUGUGGGGUGCUCGAGUGGCGAACGGGUGAGUAACACGUGAGUAACCUGCCCUUGACUUUGGGAUAACUUCAGGAAACUGGGGCUAAUACCGGAUAGGAGCUCCUGCUGCAUGGCGGGGGUUGGAAAGUUUCGGCGGUUGGGGAUGGACUCGCGGCUUAUCAGCUUGUUGGUGGGGUAGUGGCUUACCAAGGCUUUGACGGGUAGCCGGCCUGAGAGGGUGACCGGCCACAUUGGGACUGAGAUACGGCCCAGACUCCUACGGGAGGCAGCAGUGGGGAAUAUUGCACAAUGGGCGGAAGCCUGAUGCAGCAACGCCGCGUGCGGGAUGACGGCCUUCGGGUUGUAAACCGCUUUCGCCUGUGACGAAGCGUGAGUGACGGUAAUGGGUAGAGAAGCACCGGCUAACUACGUG
rnacentral:rRNA from 1 species